rnacentral:rRNA from 1 species
AACGAACGCUGGCGGCAGGCUUAACACAUGCAAGUCGAACGCACCUUUCGGGGUGAGUGGCAGACGGGUGAGUAACGCGUGGGAAUCUACCCUUCUCUACGGGAUAGCUCCGGGAAACUGGAAUUAAUACCGUAUACGUCCUGAGGGAGAAAGAUUUAUCGGGGAAGGAUGAGCCCGCGUUGGAUUAGCUAGUUGGUGGGGUAAAGGCCUACCAAGGCGACGAUCCAUAGCUGGUCUAAGAGGAUGAUCAGCCACAUUGGGACUGAGACACGGCCCAAACUCCUACGGGAGGCAGCAGUGGGGAAUAUUGGACAAUGGGCGCAAGCCUGAUCCAGCCAUGCCGCGUGAGUGAUGAAGGCCCUAGGGUUGUAAAGCUCUUUCAGUGGGGACGAUAAUUACGGUACCCACAGAAGAAGCCCCGGCUAACUUCGUG